rnacentral:tRNA from 1 species
UCGGGAUAGCUCAGCCGGAUACAUGUGACGA